AGUGUUUCACGUACAGCGUACGAUCAUCAGGCGAUUGGUGUUCAGGCGAUUGGUGAACACCAAUCGCCUGAUGAUCGUACGCUGUACGUGAAACACU